UAGCUGUGAAAAUGUUUUCACUUAAAUUUGGCUCCCACUGAUAUAAGUGCCUCUUUGUGUCAAUUUAGUAACACCACCUCCCCAAGCAGCGUAGAGUCACAGUCAACGUAAUUAGGUUGACACAGUGUCAGUGUAGAGACUUUUGUUGCUUACGUCAACUGUUACUGGCUUUCAGGAGCCAUCCCACAAUUCCCCACACUGACAAUACAAUCGAUACAAAUGCAUCUGUUGAGGACAUGUACCACUGACACAAGAAGCCAAGCGUGGACAUACACAUUCAAUUUAGUGACUGCAGUGGCUGUAUGCUGACGUAAGUUAGGGCGACAUAAUUUUGUAGUAUAGACAUGGCCCAAAUCACUUUUUGAAAAGUGAGACUUAUGUUCCUAAGGCACUUUUGAAAAUAUUACCCCUAGCAUAGACAAAAACGGUGGUAUUUAAAAUCUUAUCAGCUGAUUGUGGUCAACUUAGGGACUGUCCUGGGUUCUAAGUGGUGUUUAAAAAUGUGUUACUUAAUAUAUUGGAGAGAUCUUGUCUCUCUAUUUUCCUGGGAUUGACAUGGCUACAACUACACUGCAUACUUAUUUAACACCUAUCAGAUACCAUGUUUGCUAGUCAAGAUCAAUGGCCUUGUCUAUUCUUCUUUCAUAUGUGCAGGUUCAGCCUGAGCUCACAUUCCUUCCUCAUGUAUUCCUUUCUAUAAUCGUUGCUUCAGGACUUAGAGUUUCAGCAAAAACUGCAGAACCUCUUCCCAUUUAAUAUUUCUCUGUUAAAUAUCAAUAUCAAGCUUAGAGCUUCAAUUGUGCUCUGUUUGAUUCCCCUCCUGGUCUUAGCACCACUGCACCUUGUUACCCCAAAAUCUUUGUUGUAGAAUAAUAAGGAGGUGACAUAUAACAGGUUUGACUCCUACCUGCAUUUAUCAACUGGGAGAGUUAGAAAUCUGUGUGCCUCCUGCCCGUGUUGCAUUGAAAUAAAGGAUAGAGAGAAUAUAACCUUAAACAGAAAGAAGAUUUAUUAAGGGAUAGUUACAACUGGGGUGGGGGCGGGGAAGAAUCCACUAAGGGAAUCACUACAAAUACCAAGAAUAGAUUCCAGCAAGGGGCAUAGAGCCUAGACCUUUAACCCAUCCCUUGGUUAAACUAUUAAGUGCCUGAAAAACAAUUACUGUCUCUCUUUCACUGCAGAUGGAGGUCACCGGCAACUGAUGGACCGUCUCAGACUCUCAGGAACAUCAGAGGAUCUGGCUCUCUGCCGCCGAAGCAAGAGAUCAACAGAUCUAGGCUGAUAGCAAAGUCUUCACUGGAUCCUUUGAUGGAAUACAGGAAUCAGAUAUCAGGCAUCAUUAGGGAAUUAUUCACAAACAUUCCCAAAGGAAUCUGGGGAUGAAUCCUUUCCAGUAUGGCAUCCCUUAAAAUGAAGGUCACCAGCAAGUGAUGGACUGUUUCAGAGUCUCAGGAACAUCAGAGGAUCUGGCUCUCUACCACCGAAGCAGGAGAUCAACAGAUCUAGGCUGAUAGCAAAGUCUACAGGAAUCAGAUAUCAGGUGGAAGAUCCCAGUUAAUUUGAAGCCCAAUCCUGCAGCCCUAACACCGAUGAGAAAUGUUCAUUCACAUAAGCAGUCCCAUUGAAGUAACAGGAAUAAGGAUUAAAUGCUUGAGAGUUAUGGUAAACUAUUAAGUUACUUGAAUAAAAACCAUUGAGAUCUUUUAUAUUUUAAAAGUUUGGACUAAAUAAAAAAACGUUUUAAUAAAUGUAAGGAAACGAAUAUUUUCUGCAGAGGAGAACAAUAGAGGGCCCUUCCUGUCUUGUUCUGUGUGCUACCUUUUGAGUUUGGAAGUUUGCUUAUGUUCCAAAAUACUUGUGCUCUGAGAAUAGUAACACUCAACAGUUAUUUCUAGUGUGGACUAUAAUAGAGAAUAAUUCAAGGCACCCACAAUCUAUUUCAUGAUGCAGGCAUUUCUCUUUCACUUAUGCAGUUCCCAGACUGUGGUGCCAUUCUGUUCACCAUUCUUAAAUAAACACUACCCUGGAGAUUUCCUAAAUAGUUCUAAGUUGUGCCUGGGGAAACAUUAGAAACACAUACUAAAAGCAUGAAUAUGCUGUUGAUGAAACUAUUUUGAAUGUCCAUUUUUGUACACAUACUGGCCUGGAAGAUCAUGUAAAGCAAGAGUGUUUAAGAUAAACUUGUCAGUAAUGAUACUAUAAUAGCAAAGCUUCCUAAAUAUUUAUUCCUGAUAAGGGUUUCACAAGCCCUCCUUGGCUUGCGAGUUCAUAAAUUUUUAACUUAAGAAUUGUUUGAGAAGGAAUAAUUAAUUACCAUCAAUUUUGCAAUCUGCU